AUACGUAGGUGGCGAGCGUUGUCCGGAAUUACUGGGCGUAAAGGGCGCGCAGGCGGGCCUUUAAGUCAGGUGUGAAAUAUGCAGGCUUAACCUGUAGUUUGCAUUUGAAACUGGGGGUCUUGAGUGCAGGAGAGGGCAGUGGAAUUCCUAGUGUAGCGGUGAAAUGCGUAGAUAUUAGGAGGAACACCAGUGGCGAAGGCGGCUGCCUGGACUGUAACUGACGCUGAGGCGCGAAAGCGUGGGGAGCAAACAGGAUUAGAUACCCUGGUAGUCCACGCCGUAAACGAUGGGUACUAGGUGUAGGGGGUAUCGACCCCUCCUGUGCCGGAGUUAACACAAUAAGUACCCCGCCUGGGGAGUACGGCCGCAAGGUUGAA
rnacentral:rRNA from 1 species